rnacentral:rRNA from 1 species
UACGUAGGGUCCAAGCGUUGUCCGGAUUUAUUGGGCGUAAAGAGCUCGUAGGCGGUUCCGUAAGUCGGAUGUGAAAUUUCGGAGCUUAACUCCGAAACUGCAUUCGAUACUGCGGUGCUUGAGGACUGGAGAGGAGACUGGAAUUCAUGGUGUAGCAGUGAAAUGCGUAGAGAUCAUGAGGAAGACCAGUGGCGAAGGCGGGUCUCUGGACAGUUCCUGACACUGAGACACGAAGGCCAGGGGAGCAAACGGGG